GACGAACGCUGGCGGCGUGCUUAACACAUGCAAGUCGAACGGAAAGGCCCUGCUUGCAGGGUGCUCGAGUGGCGAACGGGUGAGUAACACGUGGGUGAUCUGCCCCUUACUUUGGGAUAAGCCUGGGAAACUGGGUCUAAUACUGGAUAGGACCAUGCUGUAGGUGGUGUGGUGGAAAGAUUAGUUUCGGUAAGGGAUGAGCUCGCGGCCUAUCAGCUUGUUGGUGGGGUAAUGGCCUACCAAGGCGUCGACGGGUAGCCGGCCUGAGAGGGUGGACGGCCACAUUGGGACUGGGAUACGGCCCAGACUCCUACGGGAGGCAGCAGUGGGGAAUAUUGCACAAUGGGCGCAAGCCUGAUGCAGCGACGCCGCGUGGGGGAUGACGGCCUUCGGGUUGUAAACUCCUUUCAGCCAUGACGAAGCCCUUGUGGUGACGGUAGUGGAAGAAGAAGCACCGGCUAACUACGUG
rnacentral:rRNA from 1 species